rnacentral:rRNA from 1 species
UAGUCUGGGAAACUGCCUGAUGAGGGGGAGUAACUACUGGAAACGGUAGCUAAUACCGCAUAAUGUCGCAAGACCAAAGUGGGGGACCUUCGGGCCUCAUGCCAUCAGAUGUGCCCAGAUGGGAUUAGCUAGUAGGUGGGGUAAUGGCUCACCUAGGCGACGAUCCCUAGCUGGUCUGAGAGGAUGACCAGCCACACUGGAACUGAGACACGGUCCAG